CAGAGCUCCCAUUGACCACGGGUUGGAACAGCUGGAGACAUGAGCCUUUGUGGUAGAAACCCAGCCCUGCAUGCCCCAAACUCCCCAUCGACCCCUCAUCCUCAAGACUGGCAGCAAGUUCACCGUCCGAACAAGGCUGCUGGUGAGACUCCAGGAAGGCAAUGAGUCACUGACUGUGGAAGUCUCCAUUGACAGGAAUCCUCCUCAAUUACAAGGGUAGGUGCUUGACAAGGACACUGCAAACAUCUGUACAGUGUAUGACCUGCAGAACCACAUUCGGCAGCCCUGGUGGCACAAACAAGGAAGAGGGGGAUUUGGGAUAUGGACAAAGGGAGAUGGCGAGAUCUGAAAUGAAGUGGAACUUCUGUUUUUUUUUUUCUGCUGAGUUUUUAGAAUAAUUCCAUUCCUUGUCUCCAUGUAUCUUCCUCCUGGAACAGCUUCCGGAAGUUCAACAUUCUGACUUCAAACCAGAAAACUUUGACCCCCGAGAAGGGGCAGAGUCAGGGUUUGAUUUGGGACUUUGGUUACCUGACUCUGGUGGAGCAACGUUCAGGUGGUUCAGGAAAGGGCAGCAAUAAGGGGCCACUA
rnacentral:lncRNA from 1 species